UCCCCUUAAGUGCACCUUUGGAGUGGCAUCGGGCCAGUUCUUGGGGUAUAUUGUAAAUCAGAGAGAAAUUGAGGCAAAUCUAGUGAAAGUAACGGCCUUAUUAGAAAUGAGGUCACCUCAGAAACUGAAAGAGGUCCAAAGUCUCAACGGGUGGAUAGCCGCACUCAGUCGCUUCAUCUCCAGAGCCACAGAUAAAAGCUUGCCUUUCUUCAAUGUGCUGAAGCAAGGAAAGAAAUUCCAAUGGACUUCGGAGUGUGAAGAAGCCUUCGAGGCUCUGAAAAAGCACCUUGGAGAGGCGCCUCUCUUGUCGAAACCUCAACCAGAUGAAUCUCUACUACUGUAUCUAGCGGUUUCGGAUGUGGCGGUCAGCGCAGUCCUAAUCAGGGAAGAAAAUGAGCGCCAAUUGUCGGUGUACUACAUCAGCAAAGCACUCCUCCUAGCUGAAACACGCUACCCAGACAUGGAAAAAUUGGCACUCGCCCUUAUCACAACCUCAAGAAAGCUGAGGCCAUACUUCCAAGCCCACUCAAUACAAGUUCUCACCAAUUUCCCUCUAAAGCAGGUAAUGCAGAAAACAGACGCAUCAGGACGCCUGCUAAAAUGGGCAAUCGAACUCAGUGUGUUCGAUCUAACGUUCCGACCUCGACACGCCAUCAAGGGCCAGACCCUUGCUGACUUUGUGGUUGAAUUUGCCAAAGCUCUAGAAAUGGAGGCGAUAAUGGAACCAGCCGAGCCCCCCACAUGGAAACUGUUCGUAGAUGGGUCCUCAGGAGAGGCUAGCGUGGGGGCAGGGCUCGUAUUGGAGAGCCCGGAAGGCCACAAGUUAAAUUGUGCGGUAAGGUUCGGCUUCAAAGCCUCAAAUAACGCCGCCGAAUACGAGGCCCUUCUGGCAGGUCUUAGACUCGCUAAGGAGAUGCAGGUCAGGAAGCUCCUGGCAAGUAGUGACUCUCAGCUCAUAGUAAAUCAGGUCAAUGGAAACUUCGUAGCCAAAGAUGGUAACAUGAUUGCGUACUUGAAGUUGGUUCUGGACAUAAUUCCUCAUUUUGAAAGGUUCGAACUGACUCAAGUCCCCCGUCUAGAGAAUGCACACGCAGACGCCCUCUCAAAAUUAGCCAGUAGCAUGGACUCAGAGAUGCUAAACAUCGUCCCUAUUGAGCACUUAUCAAAGCCCUCCACCUUCGAAGGUAAAGAGAUACUGUGGAUAGAAGGCACCCCAUUAUGGAUGAAGCCCAUCAUCGCGUACCUGAAAGAGCAAACACUGCCUGCUUCCAGAGGCGAGGCGAGAAAAUUAAGAAGAAGGGCUGCACACUUUGUCCUGCAAGAAGAUACCCUUUACAAGAGAGGCUUCUCC
rnacentral:lncRNA from 1 species